rnacentral:lncRNA from 1 species
AUGACAUAUCAAGCCUCUUGAAGCUUAUUAAGAAAAUGAUUGAAAUAUAACUUGAACUGUUUUAAAACAGAAUCAUCAAGAAACAUGUUACUCAUUGGACCUGCUUACAAUUUAUAAUUGAAUGUAGUCUUUUUCAAACUCAAAUGAGACAUAUUAUUAUUGCAUGCAUUUCGAUGACUGAAAGAAAGAUUUAAUUUUAUCUUUUUACGAAAAAAAAAAAACUUUUGUGUAUAAUUGAAUUAAAUUGUUACUCUUAUUUGAUUUUACAGUAUAAUAAAUGGGCAGUACUAUUAUUUUUAUAUAAGUUUCAAGGAAAGUUUGUUCAAUUUCAUAAAUUUAAUGGUAUUUAUGUUAGUGAUGUUUGUUGUCAGAAUUUAUAGAAUUAGAGUUUAUAAUUAAAUAAAUUCAUAAGACAUUUUGCUUAAAAAUAAGAGUAAUAGUUUUAAAAUAGACUUUUUUUUUUAAAUUUCGAAAAACCUUGAUCAUUGACCACAUCAGGGAGAAUAUUAAAUUUCUAUAAAAAUUAAUCAUCAAAUAAUAAAAUUGAUUGUAUUCUUAAAUAUAUAGUCGUGAAAAGAAGUAUGUCGUAAAACUCUGAAAGUAAUUGCACAAAGAAAGCUAUGUGCUUGCUUAAAACUUCAUGUGUUACUUUGAUAAGUACAAGCAUUUUCAAUUUAAUUCUUAUGAUAUUGUUUUACAUGGAGUUAGUUUUUUUUUGAGUUUACAGCCCCAACUUCCAAUUAUGACAGCAAGUAAUUUCUUAUUUCUAGUUUGUUUCUUUUUUAACAUAAGUUUCAUUUUAUAGUAUUUCUUAAAUUUUUAUUUAUUUUAUUCAAAAUAUAUGUAAGAAGUUUCGAUGUGUUUAACCGCUAAUUUUUGAACCAUUUCAGUUGAUCUGCAAUUUGUGUUUUCUAAAUCUUCAGUUCUUGCUUUUCCUGUUGAACUUUGUCCUGCUCCCAAUAAAAAAAAAGAACAACAUCCAAAGUAUCUGUGUACCUACUGUGGUAAAAGAUAUCAAUUUAAGAGUUAUUUGGCAAAACACAUAACUGUUCAUACUGGAGAAAAACCUUUCAAGUGUGGUAUUUGCUCCAAAGGUUUUAAAAGAAAUGAAAAUUUGCAGUACCAUAUUGCCACUUGUCAUAAUUAUGUUAUUUAAGUCACUUAAACUAUGAUCUUUCCAACCUCCCUACAGAUGUAGAUGAUUCAUUUUUGAACUUGAGGUGUAAAUACUGUCACCAAAAAACCCAAAGUAACUGGCAUUUACAAAGACACAUGCUGAAACACUUUAACGUUAAAUCUUUUCAAUGUCAAAUCUGCUCUAUGAAGUUCAAGCAUAAGCACUCUGUUAGACGUCAUAUCGUAAUGAAACAUGGCAGCUGUGGCUAGCCCCAAUAUCAUGCAUGCGAAUACCAAGCUUGUAGCCAGAAUUUUAUUCAAGAAAAGCACCCUCUCUUCUCAUGUAUGUCAUCCUACUAUGAAUGGUGUUGACCGGUUGUAUUAUCUGUAUUUUAAUCGAUAAAUUUUUAGUUUAAAUAUGUUUAUUUAUUACACUAGAACUCAGAUUUAAAGUCACUGUGAAUAAUGAUUUUAACAUCUUUUCAACUCAAUCCCUUUUUAUUUCAUAUAUCAGUAAUGCAAAAAUAUGUAGAACGUCAUCUAAAAUUUCCCUGAAAUACUCACGUAUAUACGUCACCUGAAAUACGUUCUGAGUCUUCUUUGAACCAACUGUUAAAUGAUAAUUUAAGUAAUUUGACAAGUGCAAUAGCACAAAAUGAUCCUAUUUUUAAAUCAGUAAACAGCUGGCAAGAAAUUGGACUUAAAAAUUGCUCAAAUAGAGCAUUUUCCCACAGAUUGUAAAAGUAAGCUGCAUCUAUGCGGUCUAAGAAUAAUCGAUUCUUUUAAAGUUUCGUUUAGAAAGUAGCUUGUGAAAAUGGUUCUGGCUGUGUGGCUUCUUGCACGUCUUCCAAUGUUCGACAGAAAAGGAAAAUUUUAAACUUGAUAUUGUUAUCCUGGAAAAAAAGUUUUUAAUGGUUUCAGAAAAGACAGUUUUACAUCAGUUCCGACCGAGAAGAAUACUGACUGCAUUGCUGAACAGAAUGCGAGCUUGAUUCAAACUUUAAUAAGCAAUCAGAAUGUGAUAAUGAUCUGAUGAUUAUCUAUUUCAAUAGCUGAAAUUGUGGAAUCUAGUAGUGAUGAAGAAGAGUCUGAAUCUUCUAGUCUAUCACCAUCAUUUAACAAAGUAGCAGUUAUGAUGCCGAGCCUGAAAGUAUUCUAAGGACAUUGAGGAACAAGAAAGAGAAAAAGUUUUUCUUCUUUAUUAAAUAAAUUACCUUUAAGUUCCAAAUUUUAUUUAGGUAUUUAACAAAAUAUAGUUAAAUUUGUUCGUGUUUAAAUGUUAUUUUUCAUGGGAAUUUUCAUAUCCCUGAUAAAGUUGCAUGCCAUUAUUUACAACUUUUUUGUCCAGUCUAACGAAUGUUGUUAAAUUGAGGUUCUUCUGUAUAUAUCUUUUAUGUUUGUUUAUUAAAAAGACGUGCCAUU